AACCCAUGGUGAGGGCACCUUCGCAAUAGAUCCUUGUACCUCUCCCAUGCAUCGUAAAGUGUUUCAAAGUCCAUCUGCACAAAAGAAGAGAUAUCAUUACUUAACUU
rfam:Gossypium arboreum cultivar AKA8401 contig_226923_1, whole genome shotgun sequence.